rnacentral:rRNA from 1 species
AUACGUAGGGGGCAAGCGUUAUCCGGAUUUACUGGGUGUAAAGGGAGCGUAGACGGUAAAGCAAGUCUGAAGUGAAAGCCCGGGGCUCAACCCCGGAACUGCUUUGGAAACUGUUUUACUGGAGUGCAGGAGAGGUAAGCGGAAUUUCUAGUGUAGCGGUGAAAUGCGUAGAUAUUAGGAGGAACACCAGAGGCGAAGGCGGCUUACUGGACUGUAACUGACGUUGAGGCUCGAAGGCGUGGGGAGCAAACAGGAUUAGAUACCCUGGUAGUCCACGCGGUAAACGAUGAUCACUAGGUGUCGGCGGCCAUAGGCGGUCGGUGCCGCAGCAAACGCAAUAAGUGAUCCACCUGGGGAGUACGUUCGCAAGAAUGAAACUCAAAUGAAUUGACGGGG